GAAAUAAACCAAGCUUAGUUACAUUAUUUAAUUGUAAUCGGUAAUGAAUGAUGUUUGAAUAAUUUACCUUUAUGAAUAUACCUUGAUUAAUGUAUAUAGAGCAUUAUUAUAUGUAAACAAACCAAAACAUUUGUUUAAAAAUUUUGAUGCUUAGAGUGCCGGUACCGUAGCAAAAAAAUUGGCUAUAGUUUGCGCCGUGACUCGAGAUAAUCCGUGAUACUAGAUUUUUCGAAUAAAUUUAUCCGUGAUCAUAUACAUCUGUCGGGUAUAAACACUAAACACUACGCUCACGUAAUAAUUAAGCAAGUUUUUUUUAUUUUUUUUGAAUAAAAUUUAAAUAUCACUUAGGAAAAACAGCUGAUGUCGAUUCAAAUCUAAAUUUACAGACCACUUUUAAGAACUACCUGUUGUAUUAUUCAUGCUAUGACGAAGAGUGUAUUACUGUUAUAUAGUAAUAUAUACGAAAACAAUCGUUUCGAUUGUUAUUUACAUGGUACUAGGAAUCAUAUGGUUGUCAAAAAUCAGCAAAGUAAACAUUAGUUUGCUAAUUAUCUAAAAAAAUUAAAAAAUUCGUGGAAACAUUUGAAUAAACAAAUAUUUGAACAAUGAAAAUAGUUUGUGCAUCAUCAUCAUGUAAAUAUUCAUCCAAAAAUGAAGAUUCCAGCAAUAUUAUUUUUAUCAGCUUUCCAAAUGAUGAUACAUCAACUGUUUGGGCCCAUCAUUGUGGCCGACCAGAUUUAAUGAUGAAAUCAAAUGAAGAAUUACAUAAAAAUUACUACAUCUGUGCAGAUCAUAUCGAAGACCGGUAUUUUAUAAGCAAAACAAAUCACAUAAUGAUUGCUCAAGGUGCUGUACCAACACUUUUUGAAAUAAACAAUGAAUCUCCUCAACACUGUCAUGAUCAUUCAGCUUUGAAACAACAGUAUUCCUCAGAUCAUGUUAUAGAAACGUUGCAUUUGGAUAACUGUAUCAAUAACGUAAAUAAUACAUGCUCAUCUGAUUAUGUGAAUACGGGAGAUUCCACGUAUCAAAAUGCUAUGUACAAUUCUGAUUUACAUGAUACAAAUAAUCAUGUUGAUGAAAUAAGUAGGAAUGAAGACCAACCAGUUGAUCAUACUGAUAAUAAUUCUUUGAAUUUUUGUAGCAUAAAUAUUAAUAUUGAUCAGUUUGAUGAUGUGACAAUAAGGUUUAAUCAUUUAUGUCGAGUUUGUGGACAAGGAAUCAAUCCCGGUGAUUUUGAUUUUUUUACUGGCAAAGGUGCUGAGCUUAAACUUAUCGAAAAAAUUCAUUUGCAUUUACCAAUUCUGAUUGAAAAUGAAGAUUCAAUGCCACAAAAAAUUUGCACUGAUUGUUAUGAAAAAUUAGAAGUAUCUCAUUCUUUAUUUAUCACUUGUUUAAGAACGGAUAUUAGACUUCGAAAAUAUUUAAAUCUUUCUUGCAAGUAUAACAAUGAAGAUAGAUUUCGAGAGUUAAUUGCACUUCAUGAGCUAGAAAUAAAUAAUGAAAUGUGCAUUGAUGCUUCUAACGUAGAGGAAUUGCCAAUAUCUCAAGAAAAAGAAAAACAUAAUGAUGCAUUAAGUAAUGAGACUAAUAAAAAUUCUACCACCCAUGAUAUAAAUGUUCAAGAUCACCAAUCUGUUAUUCAAUGUCCUGAAAGUAAUUUAGUAUCUUCAAAAAUGGAAAAUCGUUUUAAAUUUGUUCUACAAUCAGAUUUAAAUAAUUUAAUACUAGAACCUCUACAAACUAUGCAGAACGAUGUUCGAAAUAGCUCUACUAAUACUUCUGUUGUACAAAAUGUGAAUAUAGUAAUUAAUAAGGAAUGUCGACAAGUAAUAUCUCUGAACGAUAAUAGUGAUAAAAUACAGAAUCAAUGCGAUGAUACUCAAGUAUUAAAUAUAACAGAGAAUAAUUGUCAAGUUAACUGUAGUGUAAGUAAAAAUUUAUUUGAAAAUAAUAAAACUUGUGAAGAAAGUGAUAGAGUUUUAUAUAAAGAGAGUUCAGAAAAAUUCCAAUGUGGAAAAUGUGAUAGUAAAUUUAUUAAUCAAAAAGAAUUAACACAACAUGAGUUAAUACAUUUAAAAGAAAAAAACCCUGAACAACAACGACGUUGUGGUCAUUGUUCUGAACCGUUUUCCAAUAGGAAAUCAUUACAAACACAUAUGGCAGAAAAACAUGUUGGACAACAACUCCUUUUCAAGUGUGGUUCAUGUGAUAAAAUUUACGAAAAGUGGUCGAGUUUAGAUGUUCAUGAAGCAACUCACCGACAAGAUAAACCUUACCUUUGCGAUCUGUGUGGUAAAAGUUUCAAGCAUUCGAAUAAUUUAAGAGGUCACAAACGAAUACAUUUAGACAUUUCGAAAAAAAAAAGACACGUCUGUGAAAUUUGUAGAAAUGCUUUUAGAUCAAGGUUUCAUCUCAAAGAACACAUGAAUCAACAUAAUGGAAAUAAACCUUAUGUGUGUGAGCAAUGCGGAAAAGCUUUUUCAAAACGAAUUCAAUUACGACAACAUCGUCUUUCCCAUGGAUUGAAUAAAUACGCCUGUCCAAUUUGUGGAGUAACGUUCAAUCGUAGAGGGAAUAUGAAUACUCAUGUAAAAAGACAUAGUAAUUAUGAUGGCAUGUAUACUUGUAGUGUCUGUGAGUAUCGAUGUAAAUCAAUGAGUGAGCUUAAAUUGCACCGAAAGCAACAUUCAGACAGUGAUAUCGCAGAAAGUAUAAAAAAAAAAUGUAGCAAUAAACAGGUAUGGGACUGUAAAGUAUGUUCUAAAGUAUUUCCAAAACGCAGUGCAUUGUUAAAUCACGAACGUACACAUGAUGGAACACAAGUAAGAGUGGAAUGUGAUAAAUGCGGAAAAAAAUUAUCAAGUAAAAGUUCUUUGAAGUACCACAUCAAAUCAGUACACACAUUUGAACGACCACAUAUGUGUCAAUUUUGUGGAGAUGUAUUUAUUUCGAAAGAAGCUCGGCUCAUUCAUGAACGAAUACAUACUGGCGAACGGCCAUACUCCUGUGAAUUGUGUAAUAUGCAAUAUCGAUGUUCCAGUCAUCUUAGUCAACACAUGAAAGUUCAUUCCGAAAUACGACCUUACGUGUGUGGAUAUUGUAAUAAGACUUUUGCACGCAAAGGAUCAAUGACUGUCCAUGAACGGAUUCACACAGGAGUUAAACCAUUUGUCUGUAAUAUUUGUGAUAAAACAUUCAUACAGAAAUAUGAUAUGAUAAAGCAUGCAAAAACUCAUCAAAUUAAAACAUUCCGCUGUGAAGAUUGCAACGAAUCGUUCCCAACAAAGACUGACAUUUUCGAACAUUUUGAAAGUGUUCAUAAGCCAAAUUCUUUAAGUUCUUCGAUUGACAAAGAAGAAAAAUUACCUGAACAUAUAGAAACAUAUUCAACAGACGUAUCACAUACUAAUAACAUAGAAGAAUCUAAUACAUAGAUUAGCAAAAUUAAAAUCACCCAUAUUUCUUGAACAUAUGUAUCAAUAAAAGCAGCUCAAGUAUUUUAUACAUACUUGAAUAGCAUAUUCUCAAUGCUCUUAGCAUGAUGAAAAAAUAUUUCCUAAACCUGCUGAUUUAAAAAUGGUUAAAAAUUUAAUCGGAUCUGAUGAACAAGUUCUAAAUGGGAUAUUCUGAGGGACGAUCAAUGCAACUUGUGCUCCAUGAACUUUUAUGUAUUUCUGGCAAAUCCACCACAGAAUAAUUAGUGAAACAAAGUGCCAACGAAGUUAAAAUUGCCAGUUUUAUUAACGGAAGUAUCUCUAAGUUUUAUUCAUUAUUUUUAUUUGAUACAUAUACAUAGUAUUUAAAUAAAAUUACGAGUCAUUAAUACUAUACAAUAAAUCGAGAAGUUGAAAAUAAUUUGUUCAUUUAUGUACUCUACAAUAAUUGUAGAAAUUAAUGUUAUUAUAUGAGUAGUGCUAUUUAAUAGAAAUAAUUAUCAACUAAUACAGUGGUUGCUGACCACUUUCCCCAGCUAAUUGGCUGUUCUUAAUCUAUUUCAUAAAGUUUGUUUUUAUCAUUUUCAAUUUGUUAUACGUUUUAUGAUGGUUGUUAUAUCAGCUUACCAACAUCCAAUUCCUGAAUCAUAUGACAGCACACCACCUGUACUGAACGCUCCAGGGUUGGAUUAUGUUAUGUCUAGUGAGGAUAUUACGCAAGAUUAUAUUUCUACGAAUCUACCUGUGGAUGCUUUUUUACAGUUACAUAGCCAUUUAAUGACAAUCAGAACAUUAAUUUUGUUAGAAGCUCGGAUUAACGUGUGAUGAAAAUGCAAAGAUGUGCUAAUUCAAUCUAGAUCUAACACACCAUUGAAUGCAGUCCAUUUAUCUGGAAGAGAAAUAUUGAGAAUGUAUCCGUAUUCAAUUAUGGCACAUCUGUCGUCGAUUUUUCUUCAAAGGAAUAUUUCAAGAAAAGAUUCAAAAGAAUAUUUAAAAAAAAAAAAAACAUCACAUAUCGAUUGAAUGUGAAUCGUGCAACUCCAAAACUUCGGCCUGAAGACCGACUCGCGCCGAGAAUCCACGACCAGCGUGAAAUUUGCGCAGUAUUUUGAAAGAUAAUUUGAAAAAAAGAAACAAUACUGGAUACUUAUAUGGAAGAUGAAUAUCUGGGAAUAGAGUCGUCAUCACGAUUCUCGUUAUUCAAGUCGAUCGAUAUAGGCCAGAUGCCGUUGGAGAUCGGAACUAAAUUUCAAGAAUAAGGUAUGAUUUAUGCGAAUAUUUGUCAUUUCGUUAAUCAAACGAUGUCUUGCAAGUGCCUUUGUGUCAUUUACCAAGGUAAAUAUAUAAUAAUCUUAUAUAUAUACUUCUUGUUCUCAUAUAUAGUAUAUAUAAUAUAUAAUAUCUUAUGUAUAUUUCAUUUUAUACCAAUUUUUCUCGCUUCUUAAACCUAUCUCUUAUGUAAUAUGUAUACUAUUUACAAGAUUUGUAGUCACCGAAUAUAUCUCUAUCUAUAUAUUCCAUUUUUGUGAACUUACAACAACAUACACUAUGCCGUGCAUAGCCCACACUUCAAUCGUAUCGCCCAAUCGCGUUUACACACUCAUUAUAUAUCUUAUUAUAGCACUCAAAUACAAAUAUUCGAUUUGUGCCAAAAUUUAUGAAGAAAAUUUGGUUGUUGUCAUCAUUGAUCAACUUCCAUCAUUCUUCACCAUCAUAUCUGUACUUACUAUUAUAUCUAAUCUUUCAAACAAUUUUUAUAUAAUUUUUUAUUUCUCUUUAUAACCAACCGCAGACUUGUGUGCUGUUGUAUCAGUUUUAUUA